CCGGAAGGUGCGGCUGGAUCACCUCCUUUCUAGGGAGAGGGAGCAGGACCCAUCGGUGAGGGGACUGCGUCAACAACCCUCCCAGGUUGAUCGCUCGAUCGCUACCGUCGCCCCUGCUGGGUGGGAGCGGCGUCCGUGCUUCGGUACGGGCGAGGUCGAGCGACCCAGCACCAAGCACCGAGAACUCGCUCGCAUGGGAUCAUCUGCCACUCUUCACGUGUCAGGGUGCAGCCGCCCGCCGGGACCGAUGCGGUCCUGGCGGAACGGAACCCCGACGGGCGUUUAGCUCAGCUGGUUAGAGCACUGCCCUGAUAAGGCAGAGGUCUCUGGUUCGAGUCCAGAAACGCCCACCAUCCAAGCUCUCCGCAUUCGCAGCCGCGGGGGGACGUAGCUCAGCUGGCAGAGCAUCUCCUUUGCAAGGAGAGGGUCAGGAGUUCGAGUCUCCUCGUCUCCACCACUCUGCAGGCGCCACAGACAUAACAAGCACCUCCCGCCCUCCGAAACGGCUACGGCCGCGUUCAGAGGGCGCGACGCAAGUCCCGAGGUCCACUCGUCCAUGGGCUCGAUACCGUAUCGAGGUCAUGGACCAGCUGAUCGCUGGAAACGGCAGACGAUGUGUCGGCCGGCCGAUCCCGCCAGGGACGGCACGCACCUUUCCAAGUGAAGAUGACGAUCGGAAGAUCGAGUCUCUUUUUGUAAAACUUCNAUUUCUGCCGAAUGAACAAGUGAAGAUCCCGAUCCCACCUGACGCACUCGCCAUCGGGUGAGUUGCUGAGGGGGGUCAAGCCACACAGGGCACGG
rnacentral:tRNA from 1 species